ensembl:snRNA U6 U6 spliceosomal RNA
GCACUCAUUUCAGCAGCACAUACACUAUAUUUGGAAUAAUAUAGACAUAAUGAGCAUGUCCCUUUCACAAAGAUGCCCUGAAAACUUGUGAAACAUUCCAUUUUCUU